AAUUUUGGCCAAUGGGGGAAAGCUUGAUCCAGCAAUACCGCGUGCAGGAAGAAGCCCUUCGGGUUGUAAACUGCUUUUGUACGGAAGGAAACGGUCUGGAUUAAUACUCUGGGCUAAUGACGGUACCGUAAGAAUAAGCACCGGCUAAUUACGUGCCAGCAGCCGCGGUAAUACGUAGGGUGCAAGCGUUAUUCGGAAUUAUUGGGGGUAAAGCGUGCGCAGGCGGUUUUGUAAGACAGGCGUGAAAUCCCCGGGUUCACCCUGGGAAUUGCGUUUGUGACUGCAAGGUUAGAGUACGGUAGAGGGGGGUAGAAUUCCGCGUGUAGCAGUGAAAUGGGUAGAUAUGCGGAGGAACACCGAUGGGGAAGGCAGCCCUCUGGACCAGUACUGACGUUCAUGCAGGAAAGCGUGGGGAGCAAACAGGAUUAGAUACCCUGGUAGUCCACCCCUUAAACGAUGUCAACUGGUUGUUGGGAAUUUACUUUCUCAGUAACGAAGCUAACGCGUGAAGUGA
rnacentral:rRNA from 1 species